CCUUGUACACACCGCCCGUCACACCAUGGGAGUGGGUUUCACCAGAAGUAGGUAGCCUAACCGCAAGGGGGGCGCUUACCACGGUGAGAUUCAUGACUGGGGUG
rnacentral:rRNA from 1 species